rnacentral:lncRNA from 1 species
CCAAAACAUCCAAAAAUGUCCAAAAGACAUAAAUAAUAAAUGUUGUAAAAAAACCUAAGGAGCAUCUUGGGAAGAAGCGGAGGAUCAACUUAAGGACUAGAAAAUGAAGGCUGAGGAUCAGCUGAAUCAGCCUCUGAAUUGUCUUCCCUUAAAUCAUCCUUGGAGCUUUCAUCCUCGAGUGUAGAGAAACUUUGAUUUUGGUAAGUAGUUUCAAUUUUUUGAUUCAGAAGUUCUUUCAAACUUUGAAUCUCCUUAGUUGCCCUUGAAUGUUCCUCAGCAAAAGUAGCCUCCAUCCUAGUUUUUUCCUUCUCAGCCAGAUUGGUAGAAUCCUUUAUUACUGCUAACUCGACAGUAGUGAUCCUAAGUUGUUGCUCCAGAAUCGUUAUCACCAACCAAGAUUUCUUUCUCUAGUUGAAGACUCUCGAAUUGCUCUUUCUAGUUGUCGGCUUUCGUUCCUAACACUACAACUUGUUACUCAGUCCAAGCCAAUCUCCUCAUUAGCAUUGUGCAUAUUAAAUUGAUCUAAAAAGGCUAGGGAAAAUAUGUUAUAAACCUAAAGAAUAAAGAAUUGAAAAAAGUAAAGGAGGAAAGACAUACCUUGAGAGCAGAAUGAAUUACAUCGUUCAUUAGAGUAACAGAGGAAUGGGAGUCAAGGUUUUUCCUCUCGAGAGGGCCGAUCAAGGAUUUAACCAAAUCACAGCUCGGUGAGUUUUCUUCAACAACUUGAUACCCUCAGGAACUUUGAUCAUAACUUGUUUCAUACCUCCCUCGGUAGAAGGACCAACUUUAUCUUGAGGGAAAUCGUUAGGGUAGUAACGGGAGCAACAUGACUCAUAAGAGGAGUAGAAAAAGGUGGCUCUUCAGAUGAAGUCAAAUUCUUCCUCUUCAUCCUCAAAUCCUUGAGCAAAGAGUCUUUUAACGUGGCUCGAAG